rnacentral:rRNA from 1 species
CCUACGGGAGGCAGCAGUGGGGAAUAUUGCGCAAUGGGCGAAAGCCUGACGCAGCGACGCCGCGUGAGGGCUGAAGGUCUUCGGAUCGUAAACCUCUGUCAGCAGGGAAGAACGGUCACUGUGCUAAUCAGCAGUGAAUUGACGGUACCUGCCAAGGAAGCACCGGCUAACUACGUGCCAGCAGCCGCGGUCCUACGGAGGGUGCGAGCGUUAAUCGGAUUUACUGGGUUUAAAGCGCUCGUAGGCGGUAUGUCAAGUCAAGGGUGAAAUCCCCGGGCUCAACGUGGGAACUGCCUUUGAAACUGGAAAACUGGAGAGUGUGAGAGGAUAGUGGAAGUCCAGGUGUAGGAGUGAAAUUCGGAGAUAGCUGGAGGAACAUCAGUGGCGAAGGCGACUAUCUGGCACAUAACUGACGCUGAGGAUCGAAAGCGUGGGUAGCAAACAGGAUUAGAUACCCUAGUAGUC